rnacentral:lncRNA from 1 species
AAAUCUACCACAUGUUUUUUCAGGGGGGGGGGCAGGCUGACCAUCAGCUUAAAACAACCAUAAGUUUGCAUAUCCACUGGAAUUUGAAAAUUAAAUUGCUGAAACUGACCUUGCUGUUAGCGGUAUUUUCAUGAUUUCUCCAACUCUGCGCUUUUAUCUAAUGUACAAACAAGGUUCGAUGACACAAUACAAGUAAAAGCAACAUUUUUUGUCAUACUUUUUUACAUUUAUAUCAGAACGUUUAAAUGUAGUUAUAUCAGAAGACACCGUUUAGUAUAAACCACAAAUGAAUGGCACUAUUUAUUCCUUUACAUGUGUGCCACACAUUACUCAAUCUGGAAUAACAGCUGAAACUUGCAAAGGAAACGUAAUAUUGCAAACCAACAUUGUCCAUAUUAUUGUCCAUGCUAGCUAGCUUGUACCGGUGCAUCGCAUAGCCCUUAUUUUAGGAGCUGCAGCUUCCUUACUUAAAAGGCCGUUAACAUUUUUCCAGAAGAAAUAUUUCAUUCUUUCAUACCUUUUGAAGAAGGCCUGGUCGUACAUGAUCAAAAUUAAAGCUAGUUCAAACAAAGUUAAAAAAUGGAAGAGAAAUAUAUGAAGAUUAAUGUCAAAAACACACAAACAUUAUACGUUUUUUUUCUGGCUACUUGCAUUCAUGCACACUACUUUAAACUAAAUAUAGUUAAAACAAAAUCACUGCCACAAUGAAAGCAUUAGCAAAACAGGUUAAGAUGUAUCUGCUGUUAUUGCACCUAGUUAUUGAGGAACUGAAGUCAAGUAUCAGGAAUGAUUCUAUGGCGCAUUAAUUGUUUGUAAUAUAAAUAACAAAGGACGGUAUUUAGAAUAAGCAAUAUAAUUAAGGGAAAAUAUAAAAGUAUGAAAAAACUACUAACUAUCUAAAGGUUAAAGAGGUAUUUAGCUAAGCUUUGAGGGAAACAAAGGCACUGAUUAAGGGAAAUAUAUACAUGUAUUGAGUGAGGUAAACAUAAAAAUAUAACAAAGUAUAGCGCACAUAAAAACCGAAUGUCAAAUGAAUAUGUAUGCGAGUAUAGUAGUCACAAAGUGAAGAACAAACGUGAAGAAAAGUAGAUAUCUAUGUUAUUGUAUUUACACUAAGUAAUGAGAUUAUGCAUACGUUUUUGGCAUGGUGAGAGCGACGUUUCAUUAGUAUUAUACCUGUUUGUUGGGCUAUCGAAGCGAGGAAAAUAUGUGCGGUGGCAAGACGAAUAGGUUUUUGUGGGUUUCACUGAAGUGCGUCAACAAGCUCGAACAAGCGCAACAACGGUCGUUAAUUAGGAAAAUAAAUGUUGUUUUUUCUUUUAAACAUGAAAAGUAGUUGUACGUGUUAAAGACAAUAAAGAACAUGUUUCGCAAAUCAAUUAAAGUUGAAAUUAUUGUAAAAAUUGGGGUUUUUUUAACGCGUAAUUUACGACAUAUUAGUCGAGUUGUGUUGGCAGCUAUUUUGUUUGGAUGUCGUUGUACAAAUCGCGCAUGCGUAGUAUGGGUCUGUACAUUUUUCGCAUGCGUAGUAGGGCUUAGCUAUUCGUAAACAACAUGGCAGCCAAAACUAAUUGAUAAAUUUGUUUUCUAUUUCGCGUUAAAUAAAGCAAGUUUUUAAAUAUAGUUUACUGUAUUGGAUAUGC